UGUAAUUUGGGUGUGGCCUGUCUGU
rnacentral:piRNA from 1 species